CUAUUCAUUCCUUGGAGUGUAGGAAUAACUCAUUUCUCAUUUCCACCACUAUUAAAUGCUUCUAGCACUUUAAAUACAAGGCCACGAAUCCCAUGGUUCCCCAGGGCAUUUCUCAGGAAUACAAAGAGCGAGCUCAGAGGUUUUGAGAAGGCCAUGUCUCUGGGGAAAUAUUUAGCAGAGGUACUGAAGUACAGGACUGCUCAUAUAUCUACUGGUUGAAAACCUUCAUACUCUGGUGAUAGGUCCGCUAGCUUGUCCAAAAGAUGGCCUCUCUCCGAUGCAUCCAUCCUCCUCCAGACUGAACCCAGAGAGAAGGCAAGGCGAGCUGCCCUCACGGCUUUGUCUGUAUCAGCCUGUCAAGAAGGAAGAAAAAAGAAGAAAGGUAUUGAGGUGGGAAAGUGGAUCCUAGUUAAAAGUCCUGCCCAAGACAGGACUCCAAGCUGAAGACUCCCAUUAUCUAUAAAUCACUUGUAUUUCCUGCAGCGAAAAAAGGAGGGAAGAGGAGAUGCCAAGUGAAAUAUUUGAUACCUGUCCUAAAGCAAAUUUCUCUCAAAAGCAACCAGGAGUUACCUGAUACCUCAAAACCAAGCUUAGAAGAAACAUGUUGCUGUCGAUUUUGGCUUGAUAUUGAAAUAAAACAACUUCAUCUUA